CCUACGGGGGGCUGCAGUGGGGAAUAUUGGACAAUGGGGGGAACCCUGAUCCAGCCAUGCCGCGUGUGUGAAGAAGGCCCUCGGGUUGUAAAGCACUUUCAGUGAGGAAGAACGCCUGGUGGUUAAUACCCAUCAGGAAAGACAUCACUCACAGAAGAAGCACCGGCUAACUCCGUGCCAGCAGCCGCGGUAAUACGGAGGGUGCGAGCGUUAAUCGGAAUUACUGGGCGUAAAGCGCGCGUAGGUGGCUUGGUAAGCCGGUUGUGAAAGCCCCGGGCUCAACCUGGGAACGGCAUCCGGAACUGUCAAGCUAGAGUGCAGGAGAGGAAGGUAGAAUUCCCGGUGUAGCGGUGAAAUGCGUAGAGAUCGGGAGGAAUACCAGUGGCGAAGGCGGCCUUCUGGACUGACACUGACACUGAGGUGCGAAAGCGUGGGUAGCAAACAGGAUUAGAUACCCCGGUAGUC
rnacentral:rRNA from 1 species